UACGGGGGGGGCAAGCGUUGUUCGGAAUUACUGGGCGUAAAGGGCUCGUAGGCGGCCAACUAAGUCAGACGUGAAAUCCCCAGGCUCAACCUGGGAACUGCGUCUGAUACUGGAUGGCUUGAAUCCGGGAGAGGGAUGCAGAAUUCCAGGUGUAGCGGUGAAAUGCGUAGAUAUCAAGAGGAACACCAGUGGCGAAGGCGAGUCCCUGGACAACACCUGACACUGAGGCACGAAAGCUAGGGGAGCAAACAGG
rnacentral:rRNA from 1 species